rnacentral:rRNA from 1 species
CACGUAGGGGACGAGCGUUGACCGGAUUCAUUGGGCGUAAAGCGCGCGUAGGCGGCUCGGAAAGUCGGGUGUGAAAGCCCGGGGCUCAACCCCGGGACUGCAUCCGAUACUUCCGGGCUGGAGGUAGGUAGGGGAGAUCGGAAUUCCUGGUGUAGCGGUGAAAUGCGCAGAUAUCAGGAGGAACACCGGUGGCGAAGGCGGAUCUCUGGGCCUUACCUGACGCUGAGGCGCGAAAGCUAGGAGAGAGAACAGG